AUUGGUAAAAAGAGAGCAUGCUAUUCGAUUGACCUUUUCUGUCCGCGGAUCUCAGAAUAAGAUCUGUCAAGGUCAAUAUUACCAUUAUGUACAGUGUUUCCAAAUGCAUCAAAGCAUGUGAAAAACAGCGCGCUUCUGUGAAGGUCCCUCAUUGGGUUCCAGUGUCGCUCCAGUCUGAAGAGCAGCACAUGCACACGCGCUUUCUCCGUGUUUGUCACCCACCCGCACGAGCCCGUCUCCCCCUCCUCCCUGAGCAUGUGGGUACGUAUGGAUGGCGCACAGGCCCGUCUGAAAGGACAAUAAAGCACAAAGACGCUGAUCUUGCAGGACUCAAUGUCCCCGCUCAAGAGCAUUUGUCCAAAUGUCUGGUGUCUUCACAGCCAGUCCCCGAAAUCCAGUCAAUGAAGUCCAUAGAAACUCUCUCUCUGAAUGGAGCCACCCUAAUAAAAGAUGAAAUGGAGGACGAAGAUGGUACUUGUUUACUUGAUGUUUUAUG